rnacentral:rRNA from 1 species
UUAAGUGAAUAAGGGCGCACGGUGGAUGCCUUGGCACUAGGAGCCGAUGAAGGACGGGACUAACACCGAUAUGCUUUGGGGAGCUGUAAGUAAGCUAUGAUCCAGAGAUUUCCGAAUGGGGGAACCCAAUAUCUUUUAUAGGAUAUUACUUUUCAGUGAAUACAUAGCUGAUUAGAGGUAGACGCAGAGAACUGAAACAUCUUAGUACCUGCAGGAAGAGAAAGAAAAUUCGAUUCCCUGAGUAGCGGCGAGCGAAACGGGAAGAGCCCAAACCAACAAGCUUGCUUGUUGGGGUUGUAGGACUCCGAUAUGGUAGUCUGUUAGUAUAGUUGAAGGAUUUGGAAAAUUCCGCUAAAGAGGGUGAAAGCCCCGUAGACGAAAUGCUGACAACACCUAGGAGGAUCCUGAGUACGGCGGAACACGAGAAAUUCCGUCGGAAUCCGCGGGGACCAUCCCGCAAGGCUAAAUACUCCCUAGUGACCGAUAGUGAACCAGUACCGUGAGGGAAAGGUGAAAAGCACCCCGGAAGGGGAGUGAAAUAGAUCCUGAAACCGUGUGCCUACAACAAGUCAAAGCUCGUUAAUGAGUGAUGGCGUGCCUUUUGUAGAAUGAACCGGCGAGUUACGAUUGCAUGCGAGGUUAAGUCGAAGAGACGGAGCCGCAGCGAAAGCGAGUCUGAAUAGGGCGAAUGAGUAUGUAGUCGUAGACCCGAAACCAUGUGAUCUACCCAUGUCCAGGUUGAAGGUGCGGUAAAACGCACUGGAGGACCGAACCCACGUACGUUGAAAAGUGCGGGGAUGAGGUGUGGGUAGCGGAGAAAUUCCAAACGAACUUGGAGAUAGCUGGUUCUCUCCGAAAUAGCUUUAGGGCUAGCCUCGGAAUUGAGAAUGAUGGAGGUAGAGCACUGUUUGGACUAGGGGCCCAUCUCGGGUUACCGAAUUCAGAUAAACUCCGAAUGCCAUUCAUUUAUAUCCGGGAGUCAGACUGCGAGUGAUAAGAUCCGUAGUCGAAAGGGAAACAGCCCAGACCACCAGCUAAGGUCCCAAAAUAUAUGUUAAGUGGAAAAGGAUGUGGGGUUGCACAGACAACUAGGAUGUUGGCUUAGAAGCAGCCACCAUUUAAAGAGUGCGUAAUAGCUCACUAGUCGAGUGACCCUGCGCCGAAAAUGUACCGGGGCUAAACAUAUUACCGAAGCUGUGGACUACACCAUUAGGUGUAGUGGUAGGAGAGCGUUCUAAGGGCGUUGAAGGUCGAUCGUGAGGACGGCUGGAGCGCUUAGAAGUGAGAAUGCCGGUAUGAGUAGCGAAAGACAGGUGAGAAUCCUGUCCACCGUAUGACUAAGGUUUCCUGGGGAAGGCUCGUCCGCCCAGGGUUAGUCGGGACCUAAGCCGAGGCCGAUAGGCGUAGGCGAUGGACAACAGGUUGAUAUUCCUGUACCAGUUGUUUUUGUUUGAGCAAUGGAGGGACGCAGUAGGCUAAGGAAUGCAUGCGAUUGGAAGUGCAUGUCCAAGCAAUGAGUCUUGAGUAGAGUUAAAUGCUUUACUCUCUAAGGACAAGUUGUGACGGGGAGCGAAAUAAUAGUAGCGAAGUUCCUGAUGUCACACUGCCAAGAAAAGCUUCUAGUGAGAAAACAACUGCCCGUACCGUAAACCGACACAGGUAGUCGAGGAGAGUAUCCUAAGGUGAGCGAGCGAACUCUCGUUAAGGAACUCGGCAAAAUGACCCCGUAACUUCGGGAGAAGGGGUGCUGACUUCGGUCAGCCGCAGUGAAUAGGCCCAAGCGACUGUUUAUCAAAAACACAGGUCUCUGCAAAAUCGUAAGAUGAAGUAUAGGGGCUGACGCCUGCCCGGUGCUGGAAGGUUAAGAGGAUGGGUUAGCUUCGGCGAAGCUCAGAAUUGAAGCCCCAGUAAACGGCGGCCGUAACUAUAACGGUCCUAAGGUAGCGAAAUUCCUUGUCGGGUAAGUUCCGACCCGCACGAAAGGCGUAACGAUUUGGGCACUGUCUCAACGAGAGACUCGGUGAAAUUUUAGUACCUGUGAAGAUGCAGGUUACCCGCGACAGGACGGAAAGACCCCAUGGAGCUUUACUGUAGUUUGAUAUUGAGUGUUUGUACCACAUGUACAGGAUAGGUAGGAGCCGAUGAGACCGGAACGCUAGUUUCGGAGGAGGCGCUGGUGGGAUACUACCCUUGUGUUAUGAACCCUCUAACCCGCACCACUAAUCGUGGUGGGAGACAGUGUCAGAUGGGCAGUUUGACUGGGGCGGUCGCCUCCUAAAAGGUAACGGAGGCGCCCAAAGGUUCCCUCAGAAUGGUUGGAAAUCAUUCGAAGAGUGUAAAGGCAGAAGGGAGCUUGACUGCGAGACCUACAAGUCGAGCAGGGACGAAAGUCGGGCUUAGUGAUCCGGUGGUUCCGCAUGGAAGGGCCAUCGCUCAACGGAUAAAAGCUACCCUGGGGAUAACAGGCUUAUCUCCCCCAAGAGUCCACAUCGACGGGGAGGUUUGGCACCUCGAUGUCGGCUCGUCGCAUCCUGGGGCUGUAGUCGGUCCCAAGGGUUGGGCUGUUCGCCCAUUAAAGCGGCACGCGAGCUGGGUUCAGAACGUCGUGAGAC